UCUAAAGAGUGCAUGACAUAAAGGACGUGCCCUGGUCAGUCAGGAUUUCUUUUGGGAUCCUGUCUCAGGAGA